UACGUAGGGGGCGAGCGUUGUCCGGAAUUACUGGGCGUAAAGGGCGCGCAGGCGGCCGUGUAAGUCCGCUGUGAAAGACCGGGGCUCAACCCCGGGGUGUCAGCGGGGACUGCACGGCUGGAGUCCCGGAGGGGGAGGCGGAAUACCUGGUGUAGCGGUGGAAUGCGUAGAGAGUCAGGUGGAACACCGAUGGCGAAGGCAG
rnacentral:rRNA from 1 species